GACGAACGCUGGCGGCGUGCUUAACACAUGCAAGUCGAACGGAAAGGCCCUGCUUUUGUGGGGUGCUCGAGUGGCGAACGGGUGAGUAACACGUGAGUAACCUGCCCUUGACUUUGGGAUAACUUCAGGAAACUGGGGCUAAUACCGGAUAGGAGCUCCUGCUGCAUGGUGGGGGUUGGAAAGUUUCGGCGGUUGGGGAUGGACUCGCGGCUUAUCAGCUUGUUGGUGGGGUAGUGGCUUACCAAGGCUUUGACGGGUAGCCGGCCUGAGAGGGUGACCGGCGACAUUGGGACUGCGAUAGGGCCCAGACUCCUACGGGGGGCAGCAGUGGGGAAUAUGACACAAUGGGCGGAAGCCUGAUGCAGCAACGCCGCGUGCGUGAUGACGGCCUUCGGGUUGUAAACCGCUUUCGCCUGUGACGAAGCGUGAGUGACGGUAAUGGGUAAAGAAGCACCGGCUAACUACGUG
rnacentral:rRNA from 1 species